UGGGUCUGCAAGAAUCUGAUAAGACACUCCUGGAUGGCAAAACCAAAAAUGCUAGGGAUCAUGAAACGGGCGUAAUGCCCAGCCACAUCUGAUAUCUCUGGAUCUUGCCUGAAGAGCUUAAGAAUGUCACCAGCAUUCGCCCAUAUCAAUGCAAGAAGAAUGCUGAUGAGUAAAAGAACUAUCACUGCCCUCUGUAAGUGUAUACCAAGCAUGUGAUGCUGCUUUGCUCCAUAAGAUUGACCACAGAAUGUUUCUAAUGCACUUCCCAUUCCUCUCAAAAU
rnacentral:misc_RNA from 1 species